rnacentral:lncRNA from 1 species
AACUAAGCAUAGCCAAAAAUUCCGUUGAGUUCGGUAACUUUCACAAUUAGCAUAAGAAACUUUUAUAUAGCUAUAAUUUUUUACUCCAGUAUCCGAUUUCAACGUGUAACCCCAAUUACGAAAAUACUUCUCGAGAUCUCCACAUCACAUCGUGAAGACAUUCUAGCUGAAUUUGAAACCCAAAUUCAAUUGUUUCGGACUCCGUUUUCAAAAUUUUACGCUAUAUAUUUUCGGAAAGUUCUAUAUAUAUUUUUUAUUUUUAGUCUGAUUAUUUGAUUAUUUCUAAUCUGAUUAGGUUUAGAGAUAUAUUAAAAUUUAUUAUUUUCAUCUAGCGGGUAUCGCCUCUAUAUAUAGAGGCGGCGUUCAAUUAGUGUAAUCAGAUUUAAGAUCCAGUUGAUUAAUAAUAUUUUGUCUUUGUCGAAGAAUUGGUUCUUCG